rnacentral:rRNA from 1 species
CAGUCGCCACGGGAAUACGGAGGGAGCUGGCGUUAUUCGGAAUUACUGGGCGUAAAGCGCACGUAGGCGGCUUUGUAAGUUAGAGGUGAAAGCCUGGAGCUCAACUCCAGAAUUGCCUUUAAGACUGCAUCGCUUGAAUCCAGGAGAGGUGAGUGGAAUUCCGAGUGUAGAGGUGAAAUUCGUAGAUAUUCGGAAGAACACCAGUGGCGAAGGCGGCUCACUGGACUGGUAUUGACGCUGAGGUGCGAAAGCGUGGGGAGCAAACAGGAUUAGAUACCCCCGUAGUCCCUGUCUCUUAUAC